UGUUUGUCUACCUUCCUAAAUCUGAAAAAAGGGCUACUGGGCAGAAGGGCUGGGAGCUGAUGUACAUUUUCUUUCUCAGGAAGUUGGAGUGCACAUGGCUGGAACUGUUCAGAGCACUCUAUGUAAGCCAUAAAAAUUCAAGAGUCAGAAGCAAGCUGUUCUUCCUGAUGAGACCAAAUGAUGUACUCUGCCUUUGAAGAAGCUGUAAUUACAGAAGAGCCUGGCAGCACUUUCCUGUGCUGGUAAUGGAUAUAUCAGCACUUCCACAAACUCCCUUGUGAGGGAUUUACAGCUCUGCCAUUCAUAUUAGCCCCACACUGGAUGUAUAAACUGCUUGCCCAAAAGUAUUAAAAAAUAGUUUUAAAACAGCGUAUCAAAUUUUGGUAGACCUUGUCUAGAAGCAAACUUGCACUGGUUUGAUAAAGACUGAUUUUUAACCUAAGUGGGUUAGAGUAUUACAUAUUUGUGUGUAGUUGCUCAUAUCUGGCUUGAGGAUGACUUAUUUCAGCGUAUUCUAACAAUAAAUCAGAGUUUAAGCAGAAAUUCUGUAAGGAUUCCUUCUUCAUGCAGAGCAUCCCCUCUGCUGAACAGGUCUGGUAUAUAAUGGGGUAAAUAAAACAAGCUUCUGAUCAAACAGGUGAGGGGCAGGACACAAAACCAGUAAGGAUUUAGACAAACUGGUUCUGAAGAUCAUUUUGAGGAGCUAAAAUGCUACAGA
rnacentral:lncRNA from 1 species